rnacentral:lncRNA from 1 species
UGGAAAGGAAAUGGUGAGACAAAGAAGAUGAGAUGGAUGAAGGAAUUGGUGGAAAAAUGGAAAGGAAAUGGUGAGACAAGGAGAUGAAAUGGAUGAAGGAAUGUGUGGAAAAAUGGAAAGGAAAUGGUGAGACAAGGAGAUGAAAUGGAUGAAGGAAUUUAAAAAUGGAAAGGAAAUGGAGAGACAAAGAAGAUGAGAUGGAUGA